CAGAAUGAACAGCAAGGGAAACUAUAGAAACAACACAAGAACAAACAGAAGAGAAACGGAGCAGUUCCCGAUCUAAUGACGAUGCCGGUUCGUCUGGAGCCCGAAUAACCACAUCCAUGUGUAAUGUCACCACUGUGUAGCAUGUCUUUCAUCCUGUCUUCCUUCACCCCAACCGGU